rnacentral:rRNA from 1 species
UACGGGGGGGGCAAGCGUUGUUCGGAAUUACUGGGCGUAAAGGGCUCGUAGGUGGCCAACUAAGUCAGACGUGAAAUCCCUCGGCUUAACCGGGGAACUGCGUCCGAUACCGGCAGGCUUGAAUCCGGGAGAGGGAUGCGGAAUUCCAGGUGUAGCGGUGAAAUGCGUAGAUAUCUGGAGGAACACCGGUGGCGAAGGCGGCAUCCUGGACCGGCAUUAACGCUGAGGCGCGAAAGCCAGGGGAGCAAACGGG